rnacentral:rRNA from 1 species
GACGAACGCUGGCGGCGUGCUUAACACAUGCAAGUCGAACGGAAAGGCCCUGCUUUUGUGGGGUGCUCGAGUGGCGAACGGGUGAGUAACACGUGAGUAACCUGCCCUUGACUUUGGGAUAACUUCAGGAAACUGGGGCUAAUACCGGAUAGGAGCUCCUGCUGCAUGGUGGGGGUUGGAAAGUUUCGGCGGUUGGGGAUGGACUCGCGGCUUAUCAGCUUGUUGGUGGGGUAGUGGCUUACCAAGGCUUUGACGGGUAGCCGGCCUGAGAGGGUGACCGGCCACCUUGGGACUGCGAUACGGCCCAGACUCCUACGGGACGCAGCAGUGGGGAAUAUUGCACAGUGGGCGGAAGCCUGACGCAGCAACGCCGCGUGCGGGAUGACGUCCUUCGGGUUGUAAACCGCUUUCGCCUGUGACGAAGCGUGAGUGACGGUAAUGGGUAAAGAAGCACCGGCUAACUACGUG